UUGAUCCUGGCUCAGAUUGAACGCUGGCGGCAUGCCUUACACAUGCAAGUCGAACAGCAGCACGGGAGCAAUCCUGGUGGCGAGUGGCGAACGGGUGAGUAAUAUAUCGGAACGUACCUUGGAGUGGGGGAUAACGUAGCGAAAGUUACGCUAAUACCGCAUAUUCUGUGCGCAGGAAAGCAGGGGAUCUUAGGACCUUGUGCUCUUUGAGCGGCCGAUAUCAGAUUAGCUAGUUGGUGAGGUAAAGGCUCACCAAGGCGACGAUCUGUAGCGGGUCUGAGAGGAUGAUCCGCCACACUGGAACUGAGACACGGUCCAGACUCCUACGGGAGGCAGCAGUGGGGAAUUUUGGACAAUGGGGGCAACCCUGAUCCAGCCAUGCCGCGUGAGUGAAGAAGGCCUUCGGGUUGUAAAGCUCUUUCGGCCGGGAAGAAAUCGCAUCGGUUAAUACCCGGUGUGGAUGACGGUACCGGAAUAAGAAGCACCGGCUAACUACGUGCCAGCAGCCGCGGUAAUACGUAGGGUGCGAGCGUUAAUCGGAAUUACUGGGCGUAAAGCGUGCGCAGGCGGUUUGUUAAGAUAGGCGUGAAAUCCCCGGGCUCAACCUGGGAACUGCGCUUAUGACUGGCAGGCUAGAGUACGGCAGAGGGGGGUGGAAUUCCACGUGUAGCAGUGAAAUGCGUAGAGAUGUGGAGGAACACCAAUGGCGAAGGCAGCCCCCUGGGUCGAUACUGACGCUCAUGCACGAAAGCGUGGGUAGCAAACAGGAUUAGAUACCCUGGUAGUC
rnacentral:rRNA from 1 species